CAGCCGUAAACUAUGCUCGCUAGGUGUCAGGCAUGGCGCGACCGUGUCUGGUGCCGCAGGGAAGCCGUGAAGCGAGCCACCUGGGAAGUACGGCCGCAAGGCUGAAACUUAAGGAUUGGCGGGGGAGCACAACAACGGGUGGAGCCUGCGGUUUAAUUGGACUCAACGCCGGACAACUCACCGGGGGACGACAGCAAUAUGUAGGCCAGGCUGAAGACCUUGCCUGAAUCGCUGAGAGGUGGUGCAUGGCGUAGACGUGU
rnacentral:rRNA from 1 species